UGCUGUGUUUAGAUAAAUGAGGAGAUCAAGAGAUGUGGGGCAAGAGAGUGAAAAGCUCAGACAGUCAGCAAGGAGAUGAUCGUGGACUUCAGGAAACAGCAGAGGGAGCACCCCCUUAUCCACAUCGACAGGACAGAAGUGGAGAAGGUGGAAAGUUUUAAGUUCCUCGGCGUACACAUCACGGACAAACUGAAAUGGUCCACCCACACUGACAGCGUGGUGAAGAAGGCGCAACAGUGCCUCUUCAACAUCAAGAGGCCGAAGAAAUUUGGCUUGUCACCUAAAACUCUCACAAACCUUUAAAGAUGCACAAUCGAGAGCAUCCUGUCGGGCUGUAUCACCGCCUGGUAUGGCAACUGCACCGCACUCAACUGCAAGGCUCUUCAGAGGGUAGUGCGGUAUGCAUAACGCAUCACCGGGGGCAAUCUACCUGCCCUCCAGGACACCUACACCACCCAAUGUCACAGGAAGGCCAAAAAGAUCAUCAAGGAAAACAACCACCCGAGCCACUGCCUGUUCACCCCGCUAUCAUCCAGAAGGCGAGGUCAGUACAGGUGCAUCAAAGCUGGGACAAAGAGACUGAAAAACAGCUUCUAUCUCAAGGCCAUCAAACUGUUAAACAGCCAUCACUAACAUAGAGAGGCUCCUGCCAAAAUAGACUCAAGUCACUGGACACUUUAAUAAAGGUAUCACUAGUCACUUUAUAAAUGCCACUUUAAUAAUGUUUACAUAUCCUACAUUACUCAACUCAUAUGUAUAUACUGUAAUAUAUACCAUCUAUUGAAUCUUGCCUAUGCCGCACAGCCAUCGAGCAUACAUAUAUUUAUAUGCAAAUAUUCUUAUUCCAUCCCAUUACAUUUGUGUGUAUAAGGUAGUUGUUAGAUUACAUGUUAGAUAUUACUGCACUGUCGGAACUAGAAGCACAAGCAUUUCGCUACACUCACAUUAACAUCUGCUAACCAUGUGUUUGUGACCAAUAAUAUUUGAUUUCAUUUGAAAAAUGAUAACUUUUUUGGUCCUCCCCUUCCUCCUCUGAGGAGCCUCCACUGGGUGGUUUACAAAAGACCAAGUCCAUAUUAUGGCAAGAACAGACAUUAAGGUCAGUCAAUACGGAACAUUUCAAGAACUUUCAAAGUUUCUUCAAGUGCAGUCGCAAGAUGGCGCAGGAGAACAAAGAAGAAGUUUUACGUAUUCCUAACCAAUUGUAUUUUUUUGUUUGUUUCUUUGCGUUGUUUGUAACAAAUUUUUUAAACUUAUUUUGUACAUAAUGUUGCUGCUACCGUCUCUUAUGACUGAAAAUAACUCACCACGGAUUGGCAGAAACCUUUUUUUCCCUUUAACGAGUCCGACGAGCCCGACGUGAAUGAUAUGCUGCUUACCAGGGAACAGGCCUUGAUCCCUGUCAUUUGCGUGAAGAGAAGGCGGGGAAAAAGGGCCCGGAGGCUGGGCUGCCUUCUGAGAAUUCGUAGGCGAUCAAAUAAACCCUUACUUCCUUCCAUUCUGUUAGCAAAGGUGCAAUCUUUGGAAAAUAAAAUCGAUGACCCACAUGGAAGAUUAAAAUACCACCGGGACAUUCAAAACUGUAAUAUCUUAUGCUUCACAGAGUCGUGGCUGAACGACGACAUUAUCAACAUAGAGCUGGCAGGUUAUACGUUGAAUCGGCAGGAUAGAACAGCAUCGCCUGGUAAGACAAGGGGCGGUGGUCUAUGUAUUUUUUGUAAAUAACAGCUGGUGCAUGAUAUUUAAGGAAGUCUCAAGGUUUUGCUCGCCUGAGGUAGAGUAUCUCAUGAUAAGCUGUAGACUACGCUAUCUACCUAGAGAGUUUUCAUCUGUAUUUUUGUAGUUGUCUACAUACCACCACAGACUAAUACUGGCACUAAGACCGCACUGAAUGAGCUGUAUUCCACAAUAAGCAAACAGGAAAACGUUCAACCAGAGAUGGCGCUCUUUAAAUACUUUAAUGCAGGGAAACUUAAAUCUGUCUUACCAAAUUUCUAUCAGCAUGUUAAAUGUGCAACCAGAGGGGAAAAAAGCUCUGGAUUCCUCCGAUGGCAUUGAGGAGAACACCACAUCAGUCAUUGGCUUCAUCAAUAAGUACAUUGUUGACGUCGUCACCACGGUGACCGUACGUACAUACCCCCACCAGAAGCCAUGGAUUACAUGCAACAUCCGCACUGAGCUAAAGGCUAGAGCUGCCGCUUUCAAGGAGCAGGACUCUAACCCGGAAGCUUAUAAGAAAUCCCACAAUGCUCUCCGACGAACCAUCAAACAGGCAAAGCAUCAAUACAGGACUAAAUGGCAGGGUCGGAUGUGGCAGGGCUUGCAAACCAUUACACACCACAAAGGGAAGCACAGCUGAGAGCUGCCCAGUGACGCAAGCCUACCAGACGAGCUAAACUACUUCUAUGCUCGCUUCGAGACAAAUAAUACUGAAAAAUGCAUGAGAGCACCAGCUGUUCUGGAAACUGUGUGAUCACACUCUCCGCAGCCGAUGUGAGUAAGACCUUUAAAUAGGUCAACAUUCACAAGGCCGCAGGGUCAGACGGAUUACCAGGACGUGUACUGCGAGCAUGCGCUGACCAACUGGCAAGUGUCUUCACUGACAUUUUCAACCUCUCCCUGUCCGAGUCUGUAAUACCAACAUGUUUUAAGCAGACCACCAUGGUCCCUGUUCCCAAGAACAUUAAGGUAACCUGCCUAAAUGACUACCGCCCCACCCAUAGCACUCACGUCUGUAGCCAUGAAGUGUUUUGAAAGGCGGGUCAUGGCUCACAUCAACACCAUUAUCCCAGAAACCCAUUCCAAUUUGCAUACCGCCCAAACAGAUUCACAGAUGAUGCACUCCACACUGCCCUUUCCCACCUGGACAAAAGGAAUACCUAUGUGAGAAUGCUAUUCAUUGACUACAGCUCAGCAUUCAACACCGUAGUUCCCUCAAAGCUCAUCAACAAGCUAAGGACCCUGGGACUAAAACACCUCCCUCUGCAACUGGAUCCUGGACUUCCUGAUGGGCCGCCCCCAGGUGGUAAGGGUAGGUAACAACACAUCCGCCACGCUGAUCCUCAACACAGGAGCCCCUCAGGGGUGAGUGCUCAGUCCCCUUCUGUACUCCCUGUCACUCAUGACUGCACGGCCAGGCACAACUCCAACACCAUCAUUAAGUUUGCCGAUGACACAACAGUGGUAGGCCUGAUCACUGACAAUGAUGAGACAGCCUAUAGGGAGGAGGUCAGAGACCUGGCCAUGUGGUGCCAGGACAACAACCUCUCCCUCAACGUGAUCAAGACAAAGCAGGUGAUUGUGGACUACAGGAAAAAGAGGACAGAGCGCGCCCCCAUUCUCAUCGACUGGGCUGUAGUGGAGCAGGUUGAGAGCUUCAAAUUCCUUGGUGUCCACAUCACCAACAAACUAACAUGGUCCAAGCACACCAAGACAGUCGUGAAGAUGGCAUGACGAUGCCUAUUCCCCCUCAGGAUACUGAAACGAUUUGGCAUGGGUCAUCAGAUCCUCAAAGGUUUCUACAGCAGCCCCAUCGUGAGCAUCCUGACUGGUUGCAUCACUGCCUGGUAUGGCAACUGCUCGGCCUCCGACCGCAAGGCACUACAGAGGGUAGUGCGUACGGCCCAGGGAAUCACUGGGGCCAAGCUACCUGCCAUCCAGGACCUCUACACCAGGUGGUGUCAGAGGAAGGCCCUGAAUUGUCAAAGACUCUAGACACCUUAGUCAUAGACUGUUCUCUCUGCUACCGCACGGAAAGCGGUACCGGCGCGCCAAGUCUAGGUCCAAGAGGCUUCUAAAACAGCUUCUACCCCCAAGCUAUAAGAAACCUGAACAUCUAAUCAAAUGGCUACCCAGACGAUAUGCAUUGCCCCUCCUCUUUUACACCGCUGCUACUCUCUGUUGUUAUCAUCUAUGCAUAGUAACUUUAAUAACCAUACCUACUCUACAUGUUACCUCAACUAACCGGUGACUCUGUACAAAUACCCCCCUCUGUAUAGUCUCGCUAUUGUUAUUUUACUGCUGCUUUUAAUUACUUAUUACUUUUAUUUCUUAUUCUUACACAUAUAUUUAUGUAAUUAAGCAUUUCACUUUAAGGUGGUGUACCUGUUGUAUCCAGCGCAUGUGACUAAUAAAAUUUGAUUUGAUUUUGAUUUGAAAAACUAUCAAGCGCUAUGAUGAAACUGGCUCUCAUGAGGGCUGCCACAGGAAAGGAGGACCCAGUUACCUCUGCUGCAGAGGAUAAGUUAAUUAAAGUUAUCAUUCUAAGAAAUUGCAGCCCAAAUAAAUGCUUGACAGAGUUCAAGUAACAGACACAUCUCAACAUCAACUGUUCAGAGGACACUGCGAAUGUAAUUUUUUUUACCUUCAUUUAACUUGGCAAGUCAGUUAAGAAAAAAAUCUUAUUUUCAAUGACAGCCUUGGAACAGUGGGUUAACUGCCCGUUCAGGAGCAGAAUGACAGAUUUGAAACUUGUCAGCUUGGGGAUUUGAACUUGCAUCCUUUUGGUGACUAGUCCAACGCUCUAACCACUAGGCUACCCUGCCGCCCCAGGCUUUCAUGGUCAAAUUGCUGAAAAGAAACCACUACUAAAGAACUACUAAAAAUAAGAAGAGACUUGCUUGGGCAAAGAAACACAAGCAAUGGACAUUAGAUUGGUGGAAAUCUGUCCUUUGGUCUGAUGAGUCCAAAUUUCAGAUGUUUGGUUCCAUCCACCAUGUCUUUGUGAGACGCAGAGUAGGUGAAAGGAUGAUGUCUUCAUGUGUGGUUCCCACUGUGAAGCAUGGAGGAGGAGGUGUGAGGGUGCUUUGCUGGUGACACUGUCUGUGAUUUAUUUAGAAUUCAAGACACACUUAACCAGUAUGGCUACCACAGCAUUCUGCAGCGAUAGCCAUAUCAUCUGGUUUGUGCUUAGUGGGACCCAAAACACCUACAAGCGUGUAAAGGCUAUUUCACCAAGAAGGAAAGUGAUGGAGGGCUGCAUCUGAUGACCUGGCCUCCACAAUCACCCAACCUCAACCAAAUUGAGAUGGUUUGGAAUGAGAUGGCCGGUGGAGCGAAGGAAAAGCAGCCAACAACUGCUCAGCAUAUGUGGGAACUCCUUCAAGACUGUCGGAAAAAAGUGUGCAAAGCUGUAAUCAAGGCAAAUGGUGGCUACUAUGAAGAAUCUAAAAUCUAAAAUAUAUUUAGAUUUGUUUAAGACGUGUUUGGUUACUACAUGAUUCCAUAUGUGUUAUUUCAUAGUUUAUGUCUUCACUAUUAUUCUACAAUGUAGAAAAUAGUCAAAAUAAAGAAAAACCCUUGAAUGAGUAGGUGUGUCCAAACUUU